rnacentral:rRNA from 1 species
UGGGGAAUUUUGGACAAUGGGCGAAAGCCUGAUCCAGCAAUGCCGCGUGUGUGAAGAAGGCCUUCGGGUUGUAAAGCACUUUUGUCCGGAAAGAAAUCCUUGGCUCUAAUACAGUCGGGGGAUACGGUACCGGAAGAAUAAGCACCGGCUAACUACGUGCCAGCAGCCGCGGUAAUACGUAGGGUGCAAGCGUUAAUCGGAAUUACUGGGCGUAAGCGUGCGCAGGCGGUUUGCUAAGACCGAUGUGAAAUCCCCGGGCUCAACCUGGGAACUGCAUUGGUGACUGGCAGGCUAGAGUAUGGCAGAGGGGGGUAGAAUUCCACGUGUAGCAGUGAAAUGCGUAGAGAUGUGGAGGAAUACCGAUGGCGAAGGCAGCCCCCUGGGCCAAUACUGACGCUCAUGCACGAAAGCGUGGGGAGCAAACAGGAUU